rnacentral:tRNA from 1 species
GCCGAUGUAACUCAGUUUGGUAGAGUCCGUGAUUUGUAAUCUCGAGGUCGUGGGUUCGAUUCCCACCAUCGGCU